AGAGUUUGAUCCUGGCUCAGAUUGAACGCUGGCGGUAGGCUUAACACAUGCAAGUCGUGCGAGAAAGUAUCUUCGGAUAUGAGUAGAGCGGCGGACGGGUGAGUAACGCGUAGGAAUCUACCUAGUAGAAGGGGAUAGCCCGAGGAAACUCGGAUUAAUACCGUAUACCUCCUUCGGGAGAAAGAAGGCCUCUCUUUGGAGCUUUCGCUACUAGAUGAGCCUGCGUAAGAUUAGCUUGUUGGUGAGGUAAAGGCUCACCAAGGCUACGAUCUUUAGCGGGUCUGAGAGGACGAUCCGCCACAUUGGGACUGAGACACGGCCCAGACUCCUACGGGAGGCAGCAGUGGGGAAUAUUGGACAAUGGGCGAAAGCCUGAUCCAGCCAUACCGCGUGUGUGAAGAAGGCCCUAGGGUUGUAAAGCACUUUAAGUUGGGAAGAAAAGUUAUUGGUUAAUACCCAAUGACCGUGACAUUACCAUCAGAAUAAGGACCGGCUAAUUCCGUGCCAGCAGCCGCGGUAAUACGGAAGGUCCAAGCGUUAAUCGGAAUUACUGGGCGUAAAGCGCGCGUAGGUGGUUUAUUAAGUUGGGUGUGAAAUCCCCGGGCUCAACCUGGGAACUGCAUCCAAAACUGAUUCACUAGAGUACGAUAGAGGGAGGUAGAAUUCACAGUGUAGCGGUGGAAUGCGUAGAUAUUGUGAAGAAUACCAAUGGCGAAGGCAGCCUCCUGGAUCUGUACUGACACUGAGGUGCGAAAGCGUGGGUAGCGAACAGGAUUAGAUAC
rnacentral:rRNA from 1 species